rnacentral:rRNA from 1 species
AUUGAACGCUGGCGGCAGGCCUAACACAUGCAAGUCGAGCGGAUGAAGGGAGCUUGCUCCUGGAUUCAGCGGCGGACGGGUGAGUAAUGCCUAGGAAUCUGCCUGGUAGUGGGGGAUAACGUCCGGAAACGGGCGCUAAUACCGCAUACGUCCUGCGGGUGAAAGUGGGGGAUCUUUGGACCUCACGCUCUCAGAUGAGCCUAGGUCGGAUUAGCUAGUUGGUGGGGUAAAGGCCUACCAAGGCGACGAUCCGUAACUGGUCUGAGAGGAUGAUCAGUCACACUGGAACUGAGACACGGUCCAGACGACUACGGGAGGCAGCAGUGGGGAAUAUUGGACAAUGGGCGAAAGCCUGAUACAGCCAGGCCGCGUGUGUGAAGAAGGUCUUCGGAGUGUAAAGCACUUUAAGUUGGGAGGAAGGGCAGUAAGUUAAUACCUUGCUGUUUUGACGUUACCAACAGAAUAAGCACCGGCUAACUUCGUG